GUUCAUAACAUAUCCCCUCCCCCGAGACACUCUUGGCUCCGCCCCUUAUCCGCUUUUUAAUUUUUAUUUAUUUUUUAAUACUUCUCUCUUUUUUUUUUUUUUUUUUUUUGUCUUUUUUUGUUUUUUGGGGUCUGUAUAAAAUGGCUAUAAAUGCUGAAAGAGUAAUAGUAUAAUUUUCAAUGGCUAUAAAUGCUGAAAGAGUAAUAGUAUAAUUUUCAAGGAAGCAAACAUCGAAAUUUUCCUACAAUUAGCUAUACGUAUCUAAACCAUGGCUACUUUAGCCCUGCUUUUGCUCUUUUAUCUUUUUCAUCUUCAACUGGAUGUUCAUGCAUUGCCCUCUUCAUCUGAUUAUGAUUUUAGUUACAUGAAAUCUGUCUACAGUGCCAGUGAUCUACCAUUAAAAGAAGAGUAUGACUAUAUAAUAGUGGGAGGUGGCACAGCAGGUUGUCCUUUGGCUGCAACUUUAUCAGCAAACUACUCGAUUCUUGUCCUUGAAAGGGGCAGUGUUCCUGCUUCAUACCCACUGGUGUUGAAGUCAAGCGGGUUAUUAACUAACCUCUUGCAGGAAGACGACGGUGAAACACCUGCUCAGAGGUUUACUUCAGAAGACGGUGUUGCAAAUGUUAGAGGAAGAGUCCUUGGUGGCAGCAGCAUGCUCAAUGGAGGAUUCUUCUCCAGAGCCGAUGACCAAUUCUAUAAUGAAUCUGGCAUUGAUUGGGACAUGGAUGCGGUGGAGGAGGCAUAUCAAUGGGUGGAAGACACUAUUGUUUACCAGCCGAAUCUAUCAGCUUGGCAAUCUAUUUUUAGAGACGCUUUGCUUGAAGCAAGAGUUGGUCCUGACAAUGGAUUCAGUCUGCAACAUUUAGUGGGAACCAAAACUUCUGGUUCAAUCUUCGAUAAUGAGGGAAGGAGACAUGGAGCUGUGGAGCUUCUUAACAGAGGCGAACUGAAGAACCUGAAAGUUGCGGUUGAGGCCUAUGCGGAGAGAAUCAUCUUCUCUUCCAAAACAUCAGGUGUGACUGCAAUUGGAGUCGUAUACAGUGAUUCGAAAGGUAGGACUCAUGAGGCAUUCAUAAGAGAUGAAGGAGAGGUGAUAUUGAGUGCAGGAGCAAUUGGGAGUCCUCAGCUUCUUCUACUUAGUGGAGUUGGUCCAGUAGCUCAUCUUUCAUCACAUACAAUUCCUGUAGUCAGCCAAAAUCCUGAUGUGGGAAAUUAUAUGUUUGAUAAUCCUCGUAAUAACAUCAAUAUUGUAGUCCCAUUUGCAUUAGAUCCAUCAGUUCUACAGGUUGUAGGAAUUACCAAUGAUUUCAAUUACAUAGAGGCACUCUCUUACAAUACCUCAUUUACUUUUCCUCAACCUUUUAGCUUUUAUUCAAAUGGAAUCACUCCUUUAGAAUUGAGUGUGGCAACUAUUGUUGAGAAGUUCUCUGGACCUCUGUCGAGUGGCUCCCUCCGACUGGUUUCAUCGACCGAUGUGAAAGUUAGCCCAACCGUCCGAUUCAACUACUUUGAAGAACCAGAGGACCUUGUUCGUUGCGUAAGAGGAAUGAGGACGGUCGGUGAUAUGUUGAAGACCGACUCCAUGGCAAGACUUAAGUUCGAAGAUUUAGAAGGUGCUGAAGGUUUCAGGUUUUUAGGACCUUCUUUGCCAAGUAACCAAUCAGAUGAUGUAUCAAUGGAGGCGUUUUGCCGAAGCACGGUGACGACCAUCUGGCAUUACCAUGGUGGAUGUGUGGUUGGAAAAGUGGUGGAUGGUGAUUUGAGGGUGGUGGGUACAAAUUCACUUCGAGUGGUAGAUGGAUCCAUAUUCAAUACAUCACCCGGAACCAACCCUCAGGCCACCCUCAUGAUGAUAGGCCGGAAGCUCCAUAUCCAAUGAACCCGGAAGAUGAUAAAUCUGUGGAAGCUUUUUGUAGAAGCACACUGGAAACCAUUUCACAUUAUCAUGGUGGAUGCUUGGUUGGGGAGGUUGUGGAUGGUGAUUUGCGGGUGAUGGGGAUUAAUGCUCUUCGUGUUGUAGACGGAUCCACCUUCAACAGGUCAGCAGGACUGACCUUCAAACUAUGGUUAUGAUGCUAGGAAGGGCACAGGUAGGUUGGACUUAAAUGGCGCAGGAAAGAAGAGGAGCUGUUUUAUAUGGCAAAAACGUUUCGUUUUCAUACAUAUUAAAAGUAAAAAGAAAGUUGAUAGAUAAGAGUGUAACUGUGUAUUUAAUAUUAUCUUGAAAUUACUGAGGAUGGUGACAAAGUAUAAUGAUAAUGUUAUCAUAAUGAAUUGUGGCUGAUAAUUUUUACAUUA